rnacentral:rRNA from 47 species
GAACGACUCUCGGCAACGGAUAUCUCGGCUCUCGCAUCGAUGAAGAACGUAGCGAAAUGCGAUACUUGGUGUGAAUUGCAGAAUCCCGUGAACCAUCGAGUCUUUGAACGCAAGUUGCGCCCGAAGCCUUCGGGCCAAGGGCACGUCUGCCUGGGCGUCACGCA